rnacentral:ncRNA from 1 species
AUUCUGGUUGAUCCUGCCAGUAGUUAUAUGCUUGUCUCAAAGAUUAAGCCAUGCAUGUCUAAGUACACACGAAUUAAAAGUGAAACCGCAAAAGGCUCAUUAUAUCAGUUAUGGUUCCUUAGAUCGUUAACAGUUACUUGGAUAACUGUGGUAAUUCUAGAGCUAAUUCAUGCAAUUAAAACACGGACCUUCUGGGACGUGUGCCUUUAUUAGACUAAAACCAAGCGAUCAAUUGAUCGUUAUAAUGGUUGAACUGUAGAUAACAUGCAGAUCCUAUGGUCUUGUACCGACGACAGAUCUUUCAAAUGUCUGCCCUAUCAACUUUUGAUGGUAGUAUCUAGGACUACCAUGGUUGAAACGGGUAAAGGGGAAUCAGGGUUCGAUUCCGGAGAGGGAGCCUGAGAAACGGCUACCACAUCUAAGGAAGGCAGCAGGCGCGUAAAUUACCCACUCCCAGCUCGUGGAGGUAGUGACGAAAAAUAACAAUACAGGACUCAUAUCCGAGGCCCUGUAAUUGGAAUGAGUAAACUUUAAAUCCUUUAACAAGAACCAAUUGGAGGGUAACUCUGGUGCCAGCAGCCG